GGAUAAAAAGUGAUAGCCUCUGCAAAACAAGUGGUGCACACACAGAAAAAAGAAUUGAAGACUGGAAAACAGGAGGGGAAUUCUCUCUUUCAGCGAGCCCUAAUGUUUGAAAAGCAGUAGCACAAAGGCAAGUUAGUGUCCUUACAAGCUCACAAAAGUCCAGUGGGAUUCACCCAGUGGGCACAGAUCAUUUGAUUCAUGUCUUCUCCCUGCCAAGUUUUAUACCUAUGGAAACCAGCAUCACUUGAGUGAGAACCUGGAGAUCAAAGAGAGAAAAUCUGAGUUACAGCUGCAACCCUGCUACCAUCUUCUGCAGGCAGGUUUAAAGCGAGCUUCCCCCUGAGGCUGUCAGUGCCCCACUGCUCCUGGGAGAUGGUCUGUUUUGGGCAGCAUGCAAAUACUUUGCUAGUAAGAUUUUGACACCAGGUAAGCUCAGACAGUUGGGUUCUCCCUCCUUCUCCCUAGUUUCCCCUUUGUCUCCCUCCUCUUCUCCCACCACACCUCAUCAUGUAAUCUUUGGAGCAAGGAAAAUUCAGCUGCUCUUUCUGUAAAGACUCUUGGACUUCGAUCUGCUCUAAACUCUGUCUCUAAUGUCUUGUGUGUCUCUUGUUGCCAGGACAAACGAGAUGGAAGUGACACAGCAUUCCCAAUCCAGAAUUCAACACCUUCUCUCUCCUUUUAAAGCACUCUGGCACAUCAGUAGCCUUUUGCCUGCUGUUCAUACUUCAUAUCAGGCAUCUCUACCCACUCUCCAAGUCCUCCAACACAGGUCAUUCCUAACAUCUGGAGAUUCCCAAAGUCACAGCCUUCCUUGUCCAACCACACAGUUAAAGAAUUCCUGUUAAAGAAUUUAUGCUGUGCUUUUUUUUCCUCUCCAAGACCAUAAAUGUGCCACCACCAUCAGGAAUACCAGUGUGGAGAUUACUGGCUUGAUCCCUUCCACCAGCUCUGCCCUCUGUGACAUCAAAUGAAGCUGCACACUUACCCUUUCCUGUGACACACAACCCACACCACUGAGCCUGCUCUCCCACGAUGGAGGCUUUUCCAGCUAAGUUAAUGCAAACUAGUAAGAGAAGGUUUACAAAUGAAAGUCAGCCAAACAAAUAUACAGAAAAAAAAGGGGAUUAAAAAAUUUGCCUAAAGCAGCUUUGUAAAGAAGAGCUGAAAUGAUGUCAUCCUUCAAAGAAGUUCCAAUAACCAAGGUCAAGCAAGGGUACUAAUUUCAAGCAGAAGUAAUGUGAUACUCCAGGCAGGCAGGGAGCUAUGGGGAGAUGCAGUUGGAAGGGACAGAGGGAGAAGAGCUCUUUUUCUGGGUGAUGAGGAGCCAGAGACAGCGAAAAGAGGUGGGAGCCAAGAGUUCAGAACGAGCAAAUGAAACAAAAAGUCAACAUGAAAAACUCAACGUGAUCUUCUCACUUGCUUCACAUUGUGCAGCAAUAAAAGAUGGAAGCAGCAGCACAGUGCAA